AGACCCAGGGCAGGGACCGGACCAGGGAGCAAAAAGAUGGGGGAAGACACAGCUUCUGGUGUUCCUGUAGCUUUGGGCGUCUGCCAGGCAACAGAAGCCCCUUUGCCUUUCCAGCGCAGGAGAGCCUCAGGCUCCUGCUCUGCACACCCCUCCCCACUCCAACUCCAGCCCUCACUGGCUCAGUGCAAACUUAAAAGAUUUCUUUGUCCUGGCUGACCUGGAACUUGUUCUGAAGACCAGGCUGUCCUGGAACUCACAGAGAUCUGCCUGCCUCUGUUCUGUGAGUGCUGGAAUUAAAGGAAUGUAACACCCACCC